rnacentral:tRNA from 1 species
AUGCCGUUGCGUCGUGGGCUCGCAGCCUCCGGAGCUGUAGGCCAGGGGUUCGAAUCCUCUCGGGCGUACCA